rnacentral:rRNA from 1 species
UACGGAGGGGACUAGCGUUGUUCGGAAUUACUGGGCGUAAAGCGCACGUAGGCGGAUUUGUAAGUCAGGGGUGAAAUCCCGGGGCUCAACCUCGGAACUGCCUUUGAUACUGCAAAUCUCGAGUCCGGAAGAGGUGAGUGGAAUUCCUAGUGUAGAGGUGAAAUGACGCAGAUAUCAGGAGGAACACCCGUGGCGAAAGCGGCUCUCUGGGACGGUACUGACGCUGAGACGCGAAAGCGUGGGGGAGCAAACAGG